UGUGCAGAGUGCUGCCGCGGGCGGGGGCCCCGGGAGUCCCUGGUGCUCUCCCAGAACCCUCUGAACCAGACUCGGCUUGCAGAGGGGACUAACUCUGAAGCCAGCAUCUCUUCUCCCCCACUGCCUCCCGCUCCGAGUCAGCUAUUUCUCGCACCUCUGCACGUGGACCUCCACACCUGGGUGCUGGGAAGGGAGGUCGACAGCUUUAGAACGCCACCUUAGAGCGGCCCAUCGACAUUUCAGCUGCUCUCAAGCACCCACUUUUAGCCAUUGCCUGAUGUUUGGAAUCCUGAUAAUGCCUCUCCUUGGCCAUGUCCCUCAGGUACGUAUCCCUAGUUCUUAGAAUAGUAUCUAAUGCUUAGUGGUGACGUUUAAUGUUUCU
rnacentral:lncRNA from 1 species